rnacentral:rRNA from 1 species
UACAGAGGGUGCAAGCGUUAAUCGGAAUUACUGGGCGUAAAGCGUGCGUAGACGGUUAUGUAAGUCAGAUGUGAAAGCCCCGGGCUCAACCUGGGAAUUGCAUUUGAGACUGCAUAGCUAGGGUGCGGAAGAGGGAAGCGGAAGUUUCCGGGUGAUGAGCGGGUGAAAUGCGUAGAUAUACGGAAGGAACACCGGUGGCGAAGGCGGCUUCCUGGACCGACACUGACGCUGAGGCGCGAAAGCUAGGGGAGCAAACGGG